rnacentral:rRNA from 1 species
UACGUAGGGACCAAGCGUUGUUCGGAUUUACUGGGCGUAAAGGGCGCGUAGGCGGCAAUUCAAGUCAUCUGUGAAAUCUCCGAGCUUAACUUGGAAACUGCCAUUGAUACUAUCAGUCUUGAAUACCGUGGAGGUCAGCGGAAUAUGUCAUGUAGCGGUGAAAUGCUUAGAUAUGACAUAGAACACCAAUUGCGAAGGCAGCUGGCUACACGAGUAUUGACACUGAGGCACGAAAGCGUGGGGAUCAAACAGG